UGACUACUAACCAUUUUCAUUGCACGGGA
rnacentral:piRNA from 1 species